rnacentral:RNase_P_RNA from 1 species
CUAGAUGGCUGGGCAGUCGCUUGAUCGUAAGAUUGAGAGGAAAGUCCGGGCUCCAUAAAAACACAAUGCUGGUUAACGGCCAGCGAGGGCGACCUCAGGGAAAGUGCAACAGAAAAUAAACCGCCGUAUUUUUUACGGUAAGGGUGAAAAGGUGUGGUAAGAGCGCACCGCAUUUUUGGCAACAAAAAUGGCAUGGUAAACCCCAUUGGGAGCAAGACCAAAUAGGAGCGGCAGGUUCAGGGUAUUUAUACUUAUGAUGGGUGCGUUUUUACACCAGAUCGCUCGGGUUGGUUGCUUAAGAUAUUUGGUAACAAAUAUAUCAGAUGAAUGAUUGUCUCACACAAAACUCGGCUUAUAGGCCAUCUAGCGAU